AAAGGAAUUGACGGGGGCCCGCACAAGCGGUGGAGCAUGUGGUUUAAUACGUCACUAACCGUAGAACCUUACCCAGGCUUGACAUCUGGGGAAUCCUGAUGAAAGUCGGGAGUGCCCUUCGGGGAGCCCCAAGACAGGUGUUGCAUGGCUGUCGUCAGCUCGUGUCGUGAGAUGUUGGGUUAAGUCCCGCAACGAGCGCAACCCUCAUCCGAUGUUGCCAGCGGAUAAUGCCGGGAACUCUUCGGAAACUGCCCGUGUAAGCGGGAGGAAGGUGGGGAUGACGUCAAGUCAGCAUGGCCCUUACGCCUGGGGCUACACACAUGCUACAAUGGACGUCAAACAAAGGGCAGCAAUACCGCGAGGUGGAGCUAAUCUCAAAAAUACGUCCUCAGUUCGGAUUGCAGUCUGCAACUCGACUGCAUGAAGUCGGAAUCGCUAGUAACCGCAGGUCAGCUAAACUGCGGUGAAUACGUUCCCGGGCCUUGUACACACCGCCCGU
rnacentral:rRNA from 1 species